GCUCAGUUACUAAAACUCAGGCUGCCCAAUGUGGUUCUGCAGGAUGAAAUGAAAGAUUCGUAUCCUUUUCACCCGUUGUAAUCUUGGCCGCUUUGUUAAAUAAUAUUUAGUGACCGUAAGGCCAACGGAAAAUUAAAUGCCAUAAACUAGACUACUACCUCUUGUAAAUUUUAAACAGGUUGUUUAGGCUUGGCAUACAACGUCUAGUUAAUAGACCACUACAUGAGCAGCUGAGGUUUGACACAGCCGCAUUGACGACGUCUUUAGUAAUCUGAUAUCU